rnacentral:misc_RNA from 1 species
AAGUCGUAACAAGGUUUCCGUAGGUGAACCUGCGGAAGGAUCAUUCACAAUAAGUGUUUAUGGCACUUUCAAAUCCAUACCCACCUUGUGUGCAAUGUAUAAGAGUCCCUUUCCAACUCGGAUUGGACUUGAUUUUUCUCUCACACGUCUUCAAUUGCAAGUCUAAGCUUUCAGAGUAAUCAAAAAAACUCGAAUACAACUUUCAACAACGGAUCUCUUGGCUCUC